rnacentral:lncRNA from 1 species
UGGUGUGAAAAAUAGAAAGGGACUUUUCCCUUACUAAUGAAGAAAUGGACUAUUUCAGUGAUAUAUCACUGAGCUGAAGAAACAUAAUGUUAUCCUGGGAACUUGCCCUCCAGAUGAUACCCUAAUGGCCCCCUUGUCCCAAGAACUAAAACUGACAUAUCCUUAUUUAUGUACUGCCUUAAGGAUAUGUUAGCUCAAGGCUUCAGGUUUCGCUGACCUAGGUCAGACCAUAUGUUCACUGGCUUGACCUGGGUCACCAGCCAGACCAUCUGUUAAAAAGAAGCAUCUGGCACUAAGAUUGCUCCACCCCUAGACUCUCUAUAUAAACCAAGCCCAUACAGUGCUUGAGGUCUUCUGCUUCUUGUGGAGGCCCAAGCUAUAGCUUGAAUAAAGUACCUCUUGUGUAUUUCAUUACCGUGUGUGUCUCCUCCUUGGAAUCUGAACCAGAACCGGACAGAACAGAAUAGACAAUAUGUAUCAAUUUAACUCAGUGAAUAAAUAUAUCUGGUAUUUAAAAUGAUCUAGAGGCAACCAGAAAGCUAGAGAGCUUAAAAUUAACAUCAUAUGAAAAUAAAUUAAAACAACAAGAAAACUUUAACUUGUACAGAAGACUCAUCAGACAUAUAGUUUAUUUUGAAUAUUUUGAGGGAUUGCUAUAUAGAGGAGGAAUAAUUUUUAUUCUCUAUUAUGCCAGAAAGCAGAACCAGGAACCAAAAGGUAGAAAUUAUUUAAAGGCAACUUUAAAAUUAAGGAUUCCUACCAAUCUGGCUGAGGAGAAUGAAAUGAAACAGAUCAAACAAUUGGAGAACAAUGAAGUAACUGUGUGGGACAGACUCUUACAGAGAACACCAGUUUUCCAGUUUGCAAAUUUCCAGCCUUCAUGGAAAUGAGCUCAGUUUGCAUGAGGAAAGUAAAAGGGGGAAAAGAAAUACCUGUAAAUAAGAAAAAAAAUCUAUGAUUUAUGAUAUUUUUAAGAAGCUAG